rnacentral:snoRNA from 1 species
GCAGCAGAAAUGAUGAGCGUUUUCAUGUCUCUUCUCUGAUGAAAACACAAUGAAGAGCACAGGUUUAACUCUGAUCUCCGC